rnacentral:rRNA from 1 species
UAGGGAAUCUUCCGCAAUGGACGAAAGUCUGACGGAGCAACGCCGCGUGAGUGAAGAAGGAUUUCGGUUCGUAAAACUCUGUUGUUAGGGAAGAAAAAAUGUAUAGUAACUAUAUACAAAAGAGACGGUACCUAACCAGAAAGCCACGGCUAACUACGUGCCAGCAGCCGCGGUAAUACGUAGGUGGCAAUCGUUGUCCGGAAUUAUUGGGCGUAAAGCGCGCGCAGGUGGUUUAGAAAGUGUGAUGUGAAAGCCCACGGCUCAACCGGGGAGGGUCAUUUGGAACUAAUAAACUUGAGUGCAGGAGAGAAAAGUGGGAUUCCUAGUGGAGCGGUGAAAAGCGUAGAGAUUAGGAGGAACACCGGUGGCGAAUGCGGCUUUUUGGCCUGCAACUGACACUGAGGCGCGAAAGCGUGGGGAGCAAACAGG